GUGCCAGCAGCCGCGGUAAUACGUAGGGUCCAAGCGUUAAUCGGAAUUACUGGGCGUAAAGCGUGCGUAGGCGGUCUCGCAAGUCCGAUGUGAAAUCCCCGGGCUCAACCUGGGAACUGCGUUGGAAACUAUGAGGCUAGAGUGCGGCAGAGGGGGGUGGAAUUCCAGGUGUAGCAGUGAAAUGCGUAGAGAUCUGGAGGAACACCGAUGGCGAAGGCAGCCCCCUGGGUUAGCACUGACGCUCAUACACGAAAGCGUGGGGAGCAAACAGGAUUAGAAACCCUCGUAGUCC
rnacentral:rRNA from 1 species